UUGAAAUACCACCCUUUAAUGUUUGAUGUUCUAACGUGGAUCCGUGAUCCGGGUUGCGGACAGUGUCUGGUGGGUAGUUUGACUGGGGCGGUCUCCUCCUAAAGAGUAACGGAGGAGCACGAAGGUUGGCUAAUCCUGGUCGGACAUCAGGAGGUUAGUGCAAUGGCAUAAGCCAGCUUGACUGCGAGCGUGACGGCGCGAGCAGGUGCGAAAGCAGGUCAUAGUGAUCCGGUGGUUCUGAAUGGAAGGGCCAUCGCUCAACGGAUAAAAGGUACUCCGGGGAUAACAGGCUGAUACCGCCCAAGAGUUCAUAUCGACGGCGGUGUUUGGCACCUCGAUGUCGGCUCAUCACAUCCUGGGGCUGAAGUAGGUCCCAAGGGUAUGGCUGUUCGCCAUUUAAAGUGGUACGCGAGCUGGGUUUAGAACGUCGUGAGACAGUUCGGUCCCUAUCUGCCGUGGGCGCUGGAGAACUGAGGGGGGCUGCUCCUAGUACGAGAGGACCGGAGUGGACGCAUCACUGGUGUUCGGGUUGUCAUGCCAAUGGCACUGCCCGGUAGCUAAAUGCGGAAGAGAUAAGUGCUGAAAGCAUCUAAGCACGAAACUUGCCCCGAGAUGAGUUCUCCCUGAGACUUAGAGUCUCCUGAAGGAACGUUGAAGACGACGACGUUGAUAGGCCGGGUGUGUAAGCGCAGCGAUGCGUUGAGCUAACCGGUACUAAUGAACCGUGAGGCUUAACCUU
rnacentral:rRNA from 1 species